rnacentral:rRNA from 1 species
AACGAACGCUGGCGGCAUGCCUAACACAUGCAAGUCGAACGAGACCUUCGGGUCUAGUGGCGCACGGGUGCGUAACGCGUGGGAACCUGCCCUUAGGUUCGGAAUAACUCCCCGAAAGGGGUGCUAAUACCGGAUAAUGUCUUCGGACCAAAGAUUUAUCGCCUUUGGAUGGGCCCGCGUUGGAUUAGCUAGUUGGUAGGGUAAAAGCCUACCAAGGCGACGAUCCAUAGCUGGUCUGAGAGGAUGAUCAGCCACACUGGGACUGAGACACGGCCCAGACUCCUACGGGAGGCAGCAGUGGGGAAUAUUGGACAAUGGGCGAAAGCCUGAUCUAGCAAUGCCGCGUGAGUGAUGAAGGCCUUAGGGUUGUAAGGCUCUUUUACCCGGGAUGAUAAUGACAGUACCGGGAGAAUAAGCUCCGGCUAACUCCGUG